GUUUUUUUUUUUUUGUUUUUUGUUUUUUUUUUUUUUUUUUAAGUCGUUUUCCUGCGUUGACGAGGAUGAUCUGGGGUUUUUAUUUGUUUCGUCGUUCGUUCUGUUUCGGUGGGAGGGCUGAAGGAAACGUUCACAUUUUAGAGUUUAAAAAAAACACCUCGACAUUUAAAAAAUCAACCAACACAAGAUCAAAAAGGAAAAGGACGAGAGAAAAAUUAUUUUUAAGAUAAUUAAACAUAAAACCCUGGUGCUUCUUACAUUAUAAAGUACGUUUUAAAGAACCCACAAACUAUUAUACAUAAGUUUAUGAAUCAAUUAAAUAUCCUGCACUUGUUAGGAAUACGCAUAUCCCUUCUUUGUUGAGUUUAACGGAACGGGACAGCGGCGUGCCCCCGGCGGCUGGACUGCUCCGGCCGCGGGUCUCCCCGGGCGCCCCUCCCUGGGGCCCAGCACCCCUCCUCGCCCCAUCCCCGUCCGGGUACGGGGGCGCGGCAGGGGUCCCCGGCCCCUCCCCCGCAGAGGUCAAUGCCAACGAACAAACGUCCCCUCCCUCCCUCCCUCUCCGCCCCGAGCGCCCUUCUUUGAGCCAGACGCCAACUUGACCCUCACCAGCAUUAUCAGGAGCGCGCUCAGCAAGUUGGUAGUUUCCUCCCCCCUUUCCCGGCGCCCCUCCCGCCCCCAUUCAACAUCUCUCAUCCUAUCCCCGACCCCCUCCGGGGAACACCGGGAAGGCUCGACGCUCCAGGACAGGACCAGCCACGCUGACAGGUCGAUUUGCCCAGGCCCGCGCCCGCACGCACGCACGCACACGGCCCCGCACACAGCCCCGCCCCACCCCGCAACCAGCCCUGUCGACUGCCUUAUACACCCGCCCCCGCGCUGGCCGGCCGACCUAGUGCCUUGUUCUCACCCCCGUGCUGGCGGAGCGGACGCCGCGCUCUGGGUCCCAGAGGGGCCGGGUGGCUCAGACGACCCACCACUCCCCCACCCUGACCGUGCUGAACAGACCCCCCCACACGAGAGAAAAUAAAGGAGCAAUAAAGUCACGAGAACUUUCGUCCCCCAAUCGAGAGCCCGAGGGGCACCCCAGCCCCGCCUCUGCUCCCCCCCACCCCACCCACCCUCGGGGCGCCCCCCUCCCCCCGCAAGCCAGCCUGGGCCAGCCCCGCUUCGGCCCCUCCCGGGAGAUCCGUGCGCCCGACCAGCACCAGCAUCGCGGACCGCAAAGGCCGCCCGUCCCGUCAAACAAGUUUCUUCUUAGGCUAAGAAACGCAGUAUAUACGAGUAUCUCUAUAUAUAGUACUAAUGGAUUUGGUGUGCUUCCCCCUUAGCGUCCCCCUCCCUCUGCUCCUCCUCCUUCAGCCUGGUCUCCCCCUCUUCUCUGCCCUCCACCCCCGUCUCUGCACUGAGAUACAUAAGAAACAAGGGUAGUUUACUGUCUGUUUUGUUUUCUGGGUUUUCAGUGUCCUAGCGGAAUGCAAGUAGGCAGCCAGCCCGUCUGUUCCCUCUCCGCCCCGCCCCGCCCCGCCCCCGUCACUGCGCUUCUGUUAUACCAUCUUUGCCUGACUCUCUCCGGCUUCUCCAUUGAAUGGCUAAUGUGUAUGUGAAAUAAAGAAAUAAAGAAA
rnacentral:lncRNA from 1 species